UAUCGGAAAUGUGUGUCCAAGCAGCAAGUCUGAGAACGAGUGAAAUGCUUUUUCUCUCAAGGACAAGCUGUGAUGGGGAGCGAAAUUUAGUAGCGAAGUUCCUGAUGUCACACUGCCAAGAAAAGCUUCUAGUGAGAAAGUAACUGCCCGUACCGCAAACCGACACAGGUAGUUGAGGAGAGAAUCCUAAGGUGUGCGAGAGAACUCUCGUUAAGGAACUCGGCAAAAUGACCCCGUAACUUCGGGAGAAGGGGUGCUGACCGCAAGGUCAGCCGCAGUGAAUAGGCCCAAGCGACUGUUUAUCAAAAACACAGGUCUCUGCAAAAUCGAAAGAUGACGUAUAGGGGCUGACGCCUGCCCGGUGCUGGAAGGUUAAGAGGAGAGGUUAGCGCAAGCGAAGCUUUGAAUUGAAGCCCCAGUAAACGGCGGCCGUAACAAUAACGGUCCUAAGGUAGCGAAAUUCCUUGUCGGGUAAGUUCCGACCCGCACGAAAGGCGUAACGAUUUGGGCACUGUCUCAACGAGAGACUCGGUGAAAUUAUAGUACCAGUGAAGAUGCUGGUUACCCGCGACAGGACGGAAAGACCCCAUGGAGCUUUACUGCAGUUUGAUAUUGCGUGUUUGUAUCACAUGUACAGGAUAGGUAGGAGCCGAAGAUACCGGGACGCCAGUCUCGGAGGAGGCAACGGUGGGAUACUACCCUUGUGAUAUGACCACUCUAACCCGCUGCUCUUAGCGAGCAGGGAGACAGUGUCAGACGGGCAGUUUGACUGGGGCGGUCGCCUCCAAAAAUGUAACGGAGGCGCCCAAAGGUUCCCUCAGAAUGGUUGGAAAUCAUUCGUAGAGUGUAAAGGCAGAAGGGAGCUUGACUGCGAGACCUACAAGUCGAGCAGGGACGAAAGUCGGGCUUAGUGAUCCGGUGGUUCCGCAUGGAAGGGCCAUCGCUCAACGGAUAAAAGCUACCCUGGGGAUAACAGGCUUAUCUCCCCCAAGAGUUCACAUCGACGGGGAGGUUUGGCACCUCGAUGUCGGCUCAUCGCAUCCUGGGGCUGUAGUCGGUCCCAAGGGUUGGGCUGUUCGCCCAUUAAAGCGGUACGCGAGCUGGGUUCAGAACGUCGUGAGACAGUUCGGUCCCUAUCCGUCGCGGGCGUUGGAAAUUUGAGAGGAGCUGUCCUUAGUACGAGAGGACCGGGACGGACACACCGCUGGUGUACCAGUUGUUCUGCCAAGAGCAUCGCUGGGUAGCUAUGUGUGGACGGGAUAAACGCUGAAAGCAUCUAAGCGUGAAGCCCCCCUCAAGAUGAGAUUUCCCAUCACUUUAAGUGAGUAAGACCCCUGAGAGAUGAUCAGGUAGAUAGGUUGGGAGUGGAAGUACAGCGAUGUAUGGAGCGGACCAAUACUAAUCGGUCGAGGACUUAAUC
rnacentral:rRNA from 1 species